CUUAUGAAGCUUAGUUUGGCUGGAUAUGAAAAUCUGGUUUGAAAAAUUCUUUUAUUUAAGAAUGUUGAAUAUUGGCCCCCACUCUCUUCUGGCUUGUAGGGUUUCAGAGCUGUUCCUAUUCGGCCAUCUUGGCUCCUCCCAGGUAUGUUUUUAUUUUCAUGAUGUCUAAAUUAUCUCUUUUUCUCCCUACUUGUUUUAUUUUUGAUCAGUAUUAUCCUCUCCCAAUUUCUAGGGUAUUUCAAAUGUGUUUAUUUUGAAGUCUUUUGUAUUUGCUCUUUUCUUUAUUCCCUUUCCUUGAAUAUGAACUCCUCUACUUCUGGAAUCCAUUGAGAACAUGCAACCAUGUUCAACUUUCUUGUGUGCCUCUGACCACUAUGGCCUUAAUGUUCUCCUCAACUUGACUAAACUUCAGACAAGCCCCUUCCUGAUUCUAGAGCUCCUUUAUCUGAGAGCUUUUAUUUUAUAAAAUUUGUAAUUGCAAAUUCUUUUUUUGCUUCUUAGAGAUGUAAUUUUUUUUAACUAGUAUUUUAGGUUCAGGGGUACAUGUGCAGGUUUGUUACAUAGGUAAACUUAUGGGGGUUUGUUGUACAGAUUAUUUCAUCACCCAUGUAUUAAGUCCAGUACCCUAUAGUUAUUUUUUCUGCUCCUCUCCUCCUCCCACCCUCUACCCUCAAGUAGAUCCCAGUGUCUGUUAUUUCCUUCUUUGUGUUACAAGUUCUCAUCAUUUAGCUCCCACUUAUAAGAAAAAAACAUGUAGUAUUUGGUUUUCUGUUUCUGCAUUAGUUUGCUGGGGAUAAUAGCCUCCAGCUCCACCCAUGUUCCCUCAAAAGACAUGAUCUUGUUCUUUUUUAUGGGUCCAUAAUAUUCCAUGGUGUAUAUGUACCACAUUUUCUUUAUGCAGUCUACCAAUGAUGGACAUUUAGGUUGAUCCUAUGUCGUUGCUAUUGUGACUAGUGCUGCAAUGAACAUUCACAUGCACGUGUCUUUAUCACAGAAUGCAUAUCUUU
rnacentral:lncRNA from 10 species